GCAGCCGUAAAAUGCAGUAUAUAUGUAGAUGCACAGCAGCGCGACGGCGGCUGUCUGCUCUGUCUCUGCCGUGAGGCGUGAGACUGGGAGAGUGAACAGUAUUAGACACCUGGUAGUCCACCCUGCAAGCGAUGAGUGGUAAGUGGUAGGGGGUUUGGGCCCUCUAGUGCUGCAGUAAUGCACAUUAAAGCACUCCGCCGGGGGGGUGGGGUGCGCAAGAGUAAAUUAUAAAGAAAUAAAGGGGGGCCCCCCCACCCGCGGGGGCAGGUGUUUUAUUUUUAAGUAACAGGAGAACCAUCACCAGGUCUGCCCAUCUUCUUGACAAUCAUCAGAGAUAGGACGUCCCCCCUCCCGGGCGGAGGAACAACAGGUGGGCAUGGUUGUCACAAGUCUGGUGUGGGAAGAUGGUGGGUGAACCCCCCCAAGGACACCCCCCGUUAUUAUCAGUCGCCAGCAUUCAGGUGGGCAUUAGGGUGAGACCGGCGGUGACAAACCGGAGGAAGGUGGGGAUGACGUCAAAUCAUCAUGCCCCUUAUGACCUGGGCUACACACGUGCUACAAUGGACGGUACAACGAGUCGCGAAGUCGUGAGGCUAAGCUAAUCUCUUAAAGCCGUUCUCAGUUCGGAUUGUAGGCUGCAACUCGCCUACAUGAAGUUGGAAUCGCUAGUAAUCGCGGAUCAGCAUGCCGCGGUGAAUACGUUCCCGGGCCUUGUACACACCGCCCGUCACACCAUGAGGAGCCACUAGCAGACUAAGCUCGGUGAUCAAGUAG
rnacentral:rRNA from 1 species